rnacentral:rRNA from 1 species
UACGGGGGGGGCAAGCGUUGUUCGGAAUUACUGGGCGUAAAGGGUUCGUAGGUGGCCUGCUAAGUCACACGUGAAAUCCCUCAGCUUAACUGGGGAACUGCGUCUGAGACUGGAUGGCUUGAGUGCAGGAGAGGAACGCGGAGUUCCAGGUGUAGCGGUGAAAUGCGUAGAUAUCUGGAGGAACACCGGUGGCGAAGGCGGCAUCCUGGACCGACACUGACGCUGAGGCGCGAAAGCUAGGGGAGCAAACGGG